GCCGGAAUAGCUUAGUUGGGAGAGCGUUAUAGUGAAGUUGUUUACGCAACAAUCAUCUAAAGGCCCCGGUUCAAUCCCAAGUUCCGGCA
rnacentral:tRNA from 1 species